rnacentral:rRNA from 1 species
GAUGAACGCUGGCGGCGUGCCUAAUACAUGCAAGUCGAGCGAACAGACGAGGAGCUUGCUCCUCUGACGUUAGCGGCGGACUGGUGAGUAAAACGUGGAUAACCUACCUAUAAGACUGGGAUAACUUCGGGAAACCGGAGCUAAUACCGGAUAAUAUAUUGAACCGCAUGGUUCAAUAGUGAAAGACGGUUUUGCUGUCACUUAUAGAUGGAUCCGCGCCGCAUUAGCUAGUUGGUAAGGUAACGGCUUACCAAGGCAACGAUGCGUAGCCGACCUGAGAGGGUGAUCGGCCACACUGGAACUGAGACACGGUCCAGACUCCGACGGGAGGCAGCAGUAGGGAAUCUUCCGCAAUGGGCGAAAGCCUGACGGAGCAACGCCGCGUGAGUGAUGAAGGUCUUCGGAUCGUAAAACUCUGUUAUUAGGGAAGAACAAAUGUGUAAGUAACUAUGCACGUCUUGACGGUACCUAAUCAGAAAGCCACGGCUAACUACGUG